rnacentral:tRNA from 1 species
CUCACCUUAGCUCAGUUGGAAGAGCGAUGGACUGUAAAUCAAAUAGCAAUCCAUCGGUCCCUGGUUCGAUCCCGGGAGGUGAGA